rnacentral:lncRNA from 1 species
UGAAGAGAUGUUAUAUACUGUCUCUCCCAAACGACGUCGCAGAGAACAAAGGCAAAAGACACUGCCAAAGCGCCAAAGCCAAAACGACGCCACAGAGAAGCAAUGACAAAAUUAAACCCAGAUGCAAAACGACACCGUAUGGACAAGAUGUAUUUAUUCUAAGAAAUUCCAGAAAAUUCAUGAAAAUUCUAGAAGACUCAGUUAGUUAGAAAUCAGUUUUCCAAAUGUGUAUAUAAACAUGAGAAUUUACAGAUCAAUGAUAUACAUUUUUGCUCUAUUUUCAUUUCAAUAUCAGCUAAAUUUUAC